rnacentral:rRNA from 1 species
GAGUUUGAUCGUGGCUCAGAUUGAACGCUGGCGGCAUGCCUUACACAUGCAAGUCGAACGGCAGCACGGGAGCUUGCUCCUGGUGGCGAGUGGCGAACGGGUGAGUAAUGCAUCGGAACGUAUCCUGGAGUGGGGGGAUAACGUAGCGAAAGUUACGCUAAUACCGCAUAUUCUGUGAGCAGGAAAGCGGGGGACCUUCGGGCCUCGCGCUCUUGGAGCGGCCGAUGUCGGAUUAGCUAGUUGGUGAGGUAAAGGCUCACCAAGGCGACGAUCCGUAGCAGGUCUGAGAGGAUGAUCUGCCACACUGGAACUGAGACACGGUCCAGACUCCUACGGGAGGCAGCAGUGGGGAAUUUGGACAAUGGGGGCAACCCUGAUCCAGCCAUGCCGCGUGAGUGAAGAAGGCC